AGAGUUUUGAUCCUGGCUCAGGACGAACGCUGGCGGCGUGCCUAACACAUGCAAGUCGAACGAAGCUUGAAUUCAGAUUUCUUCGGAAUGAAGAAUGAUAUGGCUGAGUGGCGGACGGGUGAGUAACGCGUGAGCAACCUGCCCUUCGGAGGGGGAUAGUGUCUGGAAACGGACAGUAAUACCGCAUAACGUAUUUUUACCGCAUGAUAGAAAUACCAAAACUGAGGUGCCGAAGGAUGGGCUCGCGUUGGAUUAGAUAGUUGGUGGGGUAACGGCCUACCAAGUCAACGAUCCAUAGCCGGACUGAGAGGUUGAACGGCCACAUUGGGACUGAGACACGGCCCAGACUCCUACGGGAGGCAGCAGUGGGGAAUAUUGCACAAUGGGGGAAACCCUGAUGCAGCAACGCCGCGUGGAGGAAGACGGUUUUCGGAUUGUAAACUUCUGUUCUUAGUGAAGAAAAAUGACGGUAGCUAAGGAGCAAGCCACGGCUAACUACGUG
rnacentral:rRNA from 1 species